rnacentral:rRNA from 1 species
UACAGAGGGGGCGAGCGUUGUUCGGAAUUACUGGGCGUAAAGGGCGCGUAGGCGGCCGACUAAGUCAGACGUGAAAUCCCCCGGCUCAACCGGGGAACUGCGUCUGAUACUGGACGGCUCGAAUCCGGGAGAGGGAUGUGGAAUUCCAGGUGUAGCGGUGAAAUGCGUAGAUAUCUGGAGGAACACCGGUGGCGAAGGCGGCAUCCUGGACCGAGAUUGACGCUGAGGCGCGAAAGCCAGGGGAGCAAACGGG